rnacentral:rRNA from 1 species
UACAGAGGUCUCAAGCGUUGUUCGGAUUCAUUGGGCGUAAAGGGUGCGUAGGCGGCGCGGUAAGUCGGGUGUGAAAUCUCGGGGCUUAACUCCGAAACUGCAUUCGAUACUGCCGUGCUUGAGGACUGGAGAGGAGACUGGAAUUUACGGUGUAGCAGUGAAAUGCGUAGAUAUCGUAAGGAACGCCAGUGGCGAAAGCGAGUCUCUGGGCAGCAUCUGACACUGAGGCACGAAGGCCAGGGGAGCAAACGGG